GACGAACGCUGGCGGCGUGCCUAAUACAUGCAAGUUGAGCGAUGAAGAUUGGUGCUUGCACCAAUUUGAAGAGCAGCGAACGGGUGAGUAACGCGUGGGGAAUCUGCCUUUGAGUGGGGGACAACAUUUGGAAACGAAUGCUAAUACCGCAUAAUAACUUUAAACAUAAGUUUUAAGUUUGAAAGAUGCAAUUGCAUCACUCAAAGAUGAUCCCGCGUUGUAUUAGCUAGUUGGUGAGGUAAAGGCUCACCAAGGCGAUGAUACAUAGCCGACCUGAGAGGGUGAUCGGCCACAUUGGGACUGAGACACGGCCCAAACUCCUACGGGAGGCAGCAGUAGGGAAUCUUCGGCAAUGGACGAAAGUCUGACCGAGCAACGCCGCGUGAGUGAAGAAGGUUUUCGGAUCGUAAAACUCUGUUGGUAGAGAAGAACGUUGGUGAGAGUGGAAAGCUCAUCAAGUGACGGUAACUACCCAGAAAGGGACGGCUAACUACGUG
rnacentral:rRNA from 1 species